rnacentral:rRNA from 1 species
GGCUCAGGAUGAACGCUGGCGGCGUGCUUAACACAUGCAAGUCGAACGAAGCACCAUGGACAGAAUUUUUCGGAAGGACGACUAUGGCGACUUAGUGGCGGACGGGUGAGUAACGCGUGGGUAACCUGCCCCUGUACCGGGGGACAACAGUUGGAAACGACUGCUAAUACCGCAUAAGCGCACGGCAUCGCAUGAUGCAGUGUGAAAAAUUCCGGUGGUACAGGAUGGACCCGCGUCUGAUUAGCUAGUUGGUGAGGUAACGGCUUACCAAGGCAACGAUCAGUAGCCGACUUGAGAGAGUGAUCGGCCACAUUGGGACUGAGACACGGCCCAAACUCCUACGGGAGGCAGCAGUGGGGAAUAUUGCACAAUGGGGGAAACCCUGAUGCAGCGACGCCGCGUGAAGGAAGAAGUAUUUCGGUAUGUAAACUUCUAUCAGCAGGGAAGAAGAAAUGACGGUACCUGACUAAGAAGCACCGGCUAAAUACGUG